GCGGGGUAGUAGAAACGGCUUCUACGCCGGGAUAGCCUCCCGGAGAUCGCAGGUUCGACUCCUUGCCCCCGCUA
rnacentral:tRNA from 1 species